UACGGGGGGGGGCAAGCGUUGUUCGGAAUUACUGGGCGUAAAGGGCUUGUAGGUGGCCAACUAAGUCAGACGUGAAAUCCCUCGGCUCAACCUAGGAACUGCGUCUGAUACUGGAUGGCUUGAAUCCGGGAGAGGGAUGCAGAAUUCCAGGUGUAGCGGUGAAAUGCGUAGAUAUCUGGAGGAAUACCGGUGGCGAAGGCGGCAUCCUGGACCGGCAUUGACGCUGAGGAGCGAAAGCUAGGGGAGCAAACGGG
rnacentral:rRNA from 1 species